rnacentral:rRNA from 1 species
GGUGCGUCCCAUUAGCUAGUUGGUGAGACAACAGCCCACCAGAGGAUGAUAUGGGUAGCCGACCUGAGAGGGUGACCGGCCACACUGGAACUGAGACACAGUCCAGAAUAUUACGGGAGGCAGCAGUCGGGAAUCAGCCCAAUGGGCGAAAGCAGACGCAGCGACGCCGUAUGACCGAAGAAGGCAUUAGGGUGGUAAAGCUCAGUCUUUGGGGAUGGGAUGACAGUACCCAAGGAGGAAGCCCCGGCUAAAUUCGUGCCCGCCAGCGCGGUAAUAACUAGGGGGCCAGCGUUGUCUGGAAUUACUGGGUGUAAAGGGCGUGUAGGCGGGGGUGCAAGUUCAAAUAAAAAAUCCAGGGCUCAACUCUGGGCUUGCCGGUAAAACUGCAUCUCUUGAGUGUAGGAGAGGGAAGUGGAAUUCCCGGAGUAGCGGUGAAAUGCGUAGAUACAUGGAGGAACACCAGUGGCGAAGGCGGCUUCAUGGCCUACAAUAGACGCUGAGGCGCGAAAGCUCGGGUAAGAACGGGAUUAGAUACCCCGGUAGUCCUAGCCGUAAACGAUGGUCACUAGGUGUGGGUGGUUGUCAAGCCAUCCGUGCCGCAGCUAACGCAAUAAGUA